CAACGUGGGCAACCUACCCUAUCGCGGGGGAUAACACCGGGAAACCGAUGCUAAUACCGCAUGUUGUCACCGGCUCAUGGCCGGUGAAGAAAGCAGCAAUGCACGAUAGGAUGGGCCCGCGGCCUAUCAGCUAGUCGGUGGGGUAACGGCUCACCGAGGCGAUGACGGGUAGCUGGUCUGAGAGGACGACCAGCCACACGGGGACUGCGACAUGGCCCCG
rnacentral:rRNA from 1 species